rnacentral:lncRNA from 1 species
UUUUUUUUUUCUUUUUUUUCUUUUUAGGGCUGUACCUGCAGCAUAUGGAGGUUCCCCAGCCAGGGGUUCAGUCAGAGCUACAGCUGCAGGCCUGUGCCACAGCUGCAGCUCCAGGCCUACGCCACACCAGAUCCCAGCCACAUGUGCAACCGCAGCCUGUGACAAGGCCAGAUUCUUAAUCCACUGAGUGAGUUAAGGGAUCGAACCCACAUUCUCAUGGAUACUAUGUCCAGUUCCUAACCUGCUGAUGCACAAUGGGAACUCCUGAAGAAAUGCACUUUAAAAAUAAGUAUUUAUUUAUUACAUGCUCCCAUGCAUUUUGGAUGAUGUAUCAGAAAGUAUACUCUCUGAAUUAAGAGGUGCAGGAUAAGAGGUUUUCCUUUUCCUUUCAUUAAGAGGUCUACCAAUGGCUCCCCAAAAGCUCACUCUUUCUUUCCUUCUCCUGUUCUUCUUUCUUUUCUCUCUCACAUUUCUACCUCACAUGCUGGUAUAGAAUUAAAAUCCUAUGUGAUCAAGAACACAAUAAAAUGCUUAGGUUUGAAACUCUUACCAGAUGCCUCUUGAUAGCACAUCCUUCCCCCUCCACCCUCUUCCAGCCCCCUCUACCCCUCCCACCCCGGCUAAACUGUUUCCUCACCUCCAGCUGACACCUUGACAAAAACUGAACCCCAGCGCCUAGCAUGUAGACCUAUAAUUUGCCAUUUUAUUUUUCAGUAUCAGCAGGGUGCGCCCUGUUGCCAAGGAUUUCCCACUCUGAAAUGAAAGAUAAAACAGACACCUGCAGAAUUCUCUUACAGUUUGUCCUUCAUCCUGGUGAAGAGCCUGAAUAGGGCAGCAGAAAAGGUUUCCAGGAUGAGAGGGGGAUAAUAUUCAGUGCUGGGAGGAAGUCCUGUGGUGAAUGCCAAGAAGAUUGUUUUGUGCAAAGGGCAGUCACUCCCGUCCCCAGGGAAUGGAAGGAAAACCAGCUCCUUGAACAAAAAAAGAUUUUACUUUUGGAUCUUCUUUUCAGUGGAUUUGGCCAGGCCACUUUCUUCCAUUUUUUAACUGAUUUUAUGAGAGAUCUGGUUGAUCUAGGAUGUUGACACAAUAUACAACACAGUUUGCGGUUCAGGUUGGUAUAGAAGUGACUGUUCAAUGGUUCAUGAGAUCCAACCUCAGGAUAAAAUGCCCCUCUACCUAAAGUUCAGAGACAAGAGCCAUCUGCUUUAUUCCUACUGCUUCAACCUCUUUCAAACCCCGUCACAGCUAGUGCAUUUCUUGGUGUAUUUCUGUCAUCACAUUCACCAUCUAAGUACUAUAAUGCUUUCUUCUUCCUUGUCAUCACUGGGUAAGUUUCUAGGCCCAAAAGCAGACAGAGAAUGCACAACUGAUAUUAAAACAGAAUAUUACAUUAUACCACAAGCAGUAUGGAGGCAAAUCCUGUUUGCCUCCACAACAAACGCUGUUGUUACACUGUAGUUUUUCCUGACUAAAGGUGUUGAAAAAUGCGUCUCCAGGGAAUGCUUUUCCAUCACGUGUAGCCGCAGAAAUAUUAUGGUACUUGUGAACCUCACUUCCUGCCAUCCACUUUUCAUUUUCCAGUGCUUUCCUUUUCGGAUAUUUUUUUUUUCACACCUAUUACAAAGCAUAAAAACAGAAAUAAUCUGCUCUCACUCUGUUCAGAAGGGGAGAUAAGGAAGAAAGGAUACUAGCAUAAAAAAAAAUAAAAAGCUCUGCUUACGUACACCCUUUGACCGAUUUAUUCAUUCAGUAAAUAUUUAUGGAGGGCCUACUCUGCCAAGUGUGGUAACAAGUACCGGUUUACAGCGGAGAAAAAGAAAGACAAGAUUCUCGCUUUGUGAAAUAUUCAUUUGUCAGCGGAAAGAGAAUGGACAAUAAACAAAUAAGUCCAUGAAAAUAUCAGAUUUUUUAUUUUUGAUUACAGAGUCUCCUAGACAAUAAUAAACACUGCGAAGAAAAUAAGGCAGUGAUGGGAUGGGGGCAUGGGGGAGAAGGAGGGAGAGGGACUUUCGAUUUGGGUGAUAAGUUCUCCCCGAGAUGAUGUUUAGCUAAGACGUGGACGUUAAGAAGGAGCCAAAUGCUCGAGAUCCAGGAACAGAGGGUUCCCAGUGGAAGGGACAGCGAAUGCAAAGCUCUGAGGAAAGAGAGCUCUUGGCUAAGGUGUCUGGAGCAGAGCCAGCUAGGGAGGAAGCAGUGUGGGAAGAAAUCUGAGAGGUGGCCAGGGGCCGAAUUGCAUAGCCCAAGGGAAGAAUACGGCCAUAACUUACCCUGUUUGUGAAAGGGUAAGAGUGCAGAUAUUCAGCAGGAAGAGGGAGUGCAGCCUAAAGGUGGGUAAAGAUCAAACGACUUAGGGGGGGAAAUGGGGUCAUAGAUACAGCUCUCACUUUGAAUCUAUCUCUAAAAACAGGACAUGGCAGCCUUGAGCAGAGUCAGGUAGCAAAUCUGUCACCUUCUUGCACAUGUGGGUAUCAGCCUCUCCUUGUACCAGUGUAUUGGAAAGACAAUAUCCUGAAAUACUGUUAGGAAAGAAUACAUUUUACUCGUUAUACCCACAAUGUGGCUAUAAAGGGUAAAGAUCCACGUGGUUAUAAUGUGUUAUAAACCAGCAAAGAUCCACAGGCAGGAAGCAAAGAGUGGAAGAGAAGGUUCAAAAUGAAACAAUUCCAUUCAGACGGUAAGAUAAGGAACUACUUAGUUGUCUCUUGAAUGUUAUAAUAACAUUUUCAUAGUAAAAAAAAAAAAAAAUCGGGGUUUUUUUUUUUUGGCUUUUAGGGUGUAAAAGCAUACAUUUACAACUAAGAAGAAAAGUUUUCAGUACUUGAAAACUAGAAAGUUAAUUUUGAUUCUCAUUCAAAGUAUCUCAUUUGGUCUAGGUAUUAUAGAGCACCAUGAGAUAUAAUGAUGGUAAUUUGAAUUAAUAGGUUAUCACUUUACAGAAGUCUAAAAGAUUUUAAGAGAAGGGACAGGAUUCAAUGAGCAUCCAGCUGUUCAUCAGUUAAUUGAGUUCUUUAAAAUAUACAGUAAGUGUUAGAUACUGUUAUAAAGAUUCUCAGUAUGAACCAAUCACAGGGCAAUACCACACAAGAUGCCUGCUUUAUGAAUUUUGCGCUCAGCAUGUUUUCCAACUGGCUUAUAUUCCUUAGGAGAUAAGUUGUUCCCCAAAUAAUUAAGCACUUACAUCUUUAAUGUGUUUUUGCAAUCUGGCCUAAUGAUGUGACAGAGGGAAUGGCCAAAGUGUCAUAUGGCCUAUGGAUAUGAAACUGUCCCAAGUGACCAGCUGUCCUUCUGUUAAGAUGGCUCCACAUUGUUUAUCAACUUGUGUGUUUACUAUAUCAGUUUUCUGGAGCUCUGAAUUGUUUUAGAUAUAUUUUUAAUGUUUCUAUCAAGAAUAGGAGUUCUUCCUAGGUGUAAAUCUUUGAACAAUGAUUUCUUAGCUCUGAUGUCAAAAGAAAAAGCAAGCAACAACAGGAAAAACAGAUAACUUAAACCUCAUCAAAAUUAAACAGUUUUGUUAUUCUGAUACAUCAUUACCAAUGGGAAAAGACAAUCUUCAUGCUAAGAGAAAAUACUUACCCAUUACGCAUCUGGUAAGGUAAGGGACUUGUAUGAAGAAUGUAUAAAGAAGUUUUACAGCUCAAUAAUGAAAGAAAAUCCCAUUUGAAAAUGAGAAAAGAAUCUCAAUAGAUAUUUCUCUAUAAAUAUAGCAAUUGGCCAAUAACCACAUGAAAAUAUUCUCAACAUUAUUGACUAUCAGGGAAACACAAAUCAAAACCACAAUAAGAUACUCACUGCUAGGCUGGCUACAGUCAAGAAGACAGAAAACAACAAGAGUCAUCAAGAAAGCAGAGAAUUUAGGAGUUUCCCCAUAUGGCUCAGUGGAAACAAACCCAACCAGUAUCCAUAAAGUUGCAGGCUUGAUCCCUGGCCCCCCGCUCAGUGGGUUAAGGAUCCAGCGUUGCGGUGAGACGUGGUGUAGGUGAUGGAAUUGGCUUGGAUCUGGCAUUGCUGUGGCUGUGGCGCAGGCUGGCAGUUUUAGCUCUGAUUCAACCCCUAGCCUGGGAAGUUCCAUAUGCCGCAGGUGUGGCCCUAAAAAGCAAAAAAAGAAAAAAGGAGAAUUUAGCAUCCUUGUGUAUUGCUGGUGGGAAUUAAAAUGGGGCAACCUCUUUGAAAUAGUCUAGUAAUUUCGCAAAAUGUUAAACAUAGAGUUUUCACUUCUAGGUAGUUAAUUAAUGGAAGUAAAGACAUGUCUACACAAAAAUACUUGCAAGUAUGUUCAUGACAGUAUUAUUCAUAAAAACUAGAAAUGGAAAAAAUUCUAAUAUCGAUCAGUGGAUGAAUGGAUAAAUCAAAUGCAGUACAUACAUAUAAUUGAAUAUUAUUCUGCAAUAAAAAAAGUAAAAUACCGAUUCAUGAUAUAGCACACGUGAACCUUGAAAACAUCACGCUAAAUGAAAGCAGCCAGUCACAAAGACCACAUAUUGUAUGAUACCAUUUAUAUGAAAGGUCUAGAGUAGCCAAGGAAAUUAAUGGUUGCUUAGGGGUGCAGAUGGGGCAAUUUGAGGAGCAUGAGAGAGAUGCUAAUGGGGAUGCAGUUUCUUUGUGGGAUGACGAUAUGUUCUAAAAUUGAGGGUGGUAAUGGGUAUACAACUCUGUGAAUACAAUUAAAACCAUUCAAUUGUACACUUUGCAAAGGUGAAUUAUAUGAUUAUAUGGUGUGUGAAUUAUAUCUCAAUAAAUGGGUUUUUUUAAAAAUAAAUGUUCUUAACAGAGAUUACUGCACCAUAUAAUUCCUACCUCUGCAUAUUUCUCCCCAAAAUGGAAGAAGUCUAACAUCCUAAGAAAGAAAUGGUCAAGCAAUAAGACUAGAAUUAACGAAUCUCACAUUGAGCGGUAUAUGCUGCUAAUUAAGUCCUCAAAAUGGAUGUGGAAACUAAAAGGAGAAAAAAAUCAAGCAAUGCUACAAAAUAUACAAUGUGGCAAGAGUAAAAUAUACUCUUGCAAGAUAUUAAUUACUAUAUUUACUAGGACUCUAAAUUUAAAGCUUCAGAAGACACCUAAGUAACCACUUCAUCCACCCUCCACCUUGUAAAAUAUGAAAACAGAGGCUCAGAGAACUUAAAAUGUUUUGCCCUCAGGUCAUCGAAUACAUGCUGGACUGAGCAAGGAAUGAAAGUCAGAUCUUCUGAAUUAUAAUCCAAUAGAAAUUCAAUUAGAUAAUCUAUUCAAUACCUAAGGAUCUUAGAAAAAGGUUCAGAUGUUAUUUUUUCAGAGAAAGUAUGUCUUUCUUAAAGUAGUGGUUUAUCUUAAAGGCAAACGAUAGAUGUAAUGCAUACAAUAUAUUAAAUGUAGUGUUUCAUAUUAAAAGAGGAGCAAGGAUUUCUUUCCUGGUGAAUUCUGCCAUGUGGGACUAAAGCCAAGGACAAAAAUGUAUGUCCCGGACACAUAUAAGGGAUAAGAAAUGGAUUAUGAGUAUUCAUAGGGAGGGUUCAAAAGGUCUUGGACAAAUCACGCCUCACAUUCCUUUUAUAUUCUCUUGUCUCUGCCAUCCCCUGGGUUUCCAGGAAACCUCAAGAUGACAUAAACGUCAAGUGAAGCCCAGGGCAGCAAAGGCACAAAGAGAGUAAGAAGUUGAUGAAAGAAAGAAAAGAUGUCCUUUCGCCUACUUUGUGACUGAAGUGAGGGCUGGGAAAGAGUGGCUGUGGAUGAACUUCCUGGUUCUCCUACUCCUAAUGGUCUAGCUUGUUACUCGAAAUUGGGAGCAGCAUCACCCUAUUAGAAAGAAAGACUUCAACCCCAUCUCAUCCCAGAUCAAUCAGAAUCUGCAUUUUCACAAGAUCCCCAGGUGAUGGGGUACACAUUAGAAAUUAAGAUCUUGAGAGAAGGCUGGUCUCCGUCAACGUUUCUCUGAAGCAAUGUUCAGGUGUCUGUAUCUUGAGGACCCAGCUGCCUAAGAGGGUUUAGAUGAUUGGUCACCACCUCUACAUCCUUGGGAAGCUCUGGCUUCUGGAUUCACAUGAAAGUCAUGCACUCUGGCUCUAAUCAGAAAAGACCUUUGCUGGUCAUAAGAAGUGUUAAGUCAGCUGCCUACUAACUCAACUUCCAGUCUCACGUAAUUUUCCAGUUCUGCCUCUUGAUGUUGACUUUUAAAAGCUCUUAACGUGUUCCUGUAGCACCUCCAUGAAUGUGUUUUCAUUACAUAUCUGUGCUUUCAUCUUUGCAAAACAAGGAUGUUCUCCUUUCUCAGAAAUUAAUGUCAUAUUUCCUGUCAAACCCUUCAUUUUCACAAGUUCAGACUAAUUAUGACUGCAGAUGGUACCGCUAAAUAAAGUUCUCCAUCAUGGACACUUAAUCAAAUCAGUAUUCCCAGUAGAAAUGUCUGUCUUAUGGAAAAACCUGUUGCUGUGGGUUAGUUGAGAGUUUAAGGUAAUGUUGAAGAGUUCUUUAAUUUUAUUCCAAGCCAAGAUUGCUAUGGAAACUCAUGUGCAGGCUUAGAAAUAUCUCAUUAGGGUUUCUUUUGUCUAAAUAGUAAAGAAAAUGCUGACAUCACAUUAGCAUUUAAACACUACAUGGCUUGUGCAGAGGAGCAAACAGCAGAGUAAGUGAAACUGCAUCCAAGUUCAGCUAAACAGUCACUGUUAAGGAUACUCACCUUUGCCCAUCU